AGCUCCAAAAGCGUAUGUUAAAGUUGUUGCGUUUAAAAAGCUCGUAGUUCAAUGUCCGCCGUACAAAUCUCACACCUCCUCGGGAUGUUGUAAGAGCAGUCUGGCGCUCUCGGCAGUCCGUGCGUUGCACUUAAUUUUGCGAACCCGGGUUGCUGUCACGUACUUCGAAGAAAUUAGAUUGUUUCACUGCAGUUGAAGCUAAUAAUACCAAAGCAUGGAAUAACAACUUUGACCUUACUUCGGACUCGUUGGCUUGUCAAGCAAAGGUGAUGGUCGAUAGGGACGGUUGGGGGCUUUCGUACUUGACAGUCAGAGGUGAAAUUCUUGGAUUUGUUAAAGACGAACAAAUGCGAAAGCACUUGCCAAAGAUGUUUUCA
rnacentral:rRNA from 1 species